rnacentral:rRNA from 1 species
UUCGGUGGUCAUAGCGUGAGGGAAACGCCCGGUUACAUUCCGAACCCGGAAGCUAAGCCUUACAGCGCCGAUGGUACUGCAGGGGGGACCCUGUGGGAGAGUAGGACGCCGCCGAACAAAUUUUAU